rnacentral:pre_miRNA from 1 species
CGGAUUUUUAAAUCCGUCUCUAACUUUAGGGACAGAUUUUAAAAAUCCGUCCCUAAAUUAGUGACGGAUUUUAAAAAUCCGUCUCGAAAUAAAUUUAGAGACGAAUUUUGAAAAUCCGUCUCUAACUUAGGGACGGAUAUUGAUAAUCCGUCCCUAAAGUUAGAGACGGAUUUAAAAAUCCG